CGUCGACCUAAGCAGCAGCUAGGCUGCUUGUUCUCGUCGCUGCCACCAGGGGGAGCCAAACCACACAGGCCGGAGGGAGACAGGGAAACGGCUGGGCGUGCCCUCCAUCCAACAGCCUCAUGGAGCCAGGAGAGACGUCAGACACUUCUACGCGCCCAUCAGACUAGAGAGACUGGGCGCCGUUAGAAAACUCGCACUUUUUAAGGAACUUUCCAGAAGCAGGCAGGAGUCAAAAGGAAAGUGUUGGCUUGCGUUGCAGGGAGGAGACGUCUGUUGGAUUGAUCAGAAUUAAACCUGGAAUGCAUUUCUAACAAGCUCUCGGGCGAUGCCGACGCUGCUGGUCCAUGGGUUACCCUCUGAGAACUAAGGGUGAAGGAAAACAUGCAUGGAUUUUGGAGUCAAAGGACCUGGGUUCAAAUCCUGCAAUGAUCCCUCACCAGUGAUGUGACAUUAGGCGGCCCGGUGUCUCGUUGGUUCGAAUCCUGGGUGUGGACAUGGCACUGCUCAUCAAGCCAUGCUGAGGCGGCGUCCCACGUGCCACAACUAGAAGGACCCACAACGAAGAAUAUACAACUAUGUACUGGUGGGCUUUGGGGAGUAAAAGGAAAAAAAAUAAAAUCUUUAAAAAAAAAAUUGGUAACAAACUAAAAGUCUAAGAAUAAUUAUGGGACAGUCAUGAUGUGAAAUAGUGUACACCCAUUAAAAGAUAUCUUGUAAAAAUAUUUAUAUGCAAAAAUGUUUACCAUAUAUUGGCAAGUGAAAA
rnacentral:lncRNA from 1 species